rnacentral:rRNA from 1 species
CGCGUAGGCGGCUUGCCAAGUCAGGGGUGAAAUCCUGCAGCUCAACUGUAGAAGUGCCUUUGAUACUGGCGAGCUCGAGGGAGGUAGGGGUGGGUGGAACUUCUGGUGGAGCGGUGAAAUGCGUUGAUAUCAGAAGGAACGCCGGUGGCGAAAGCGACCCACUGGAUCUCUACUGACGCUGAGGCGCGAAAGCUAGGGGAGCAAACGGGAUUAGAUACCCCGGUAGUCCUAGCCCUAAACGAUGAGCACUAGAUUGCAGACUGAUCAUGGGUUUGCAGUCGAAGCAAAAGUGUUAAGUGCUCCGCCUGGGGAGUAUGGUCGCAAGGCUGAA